rnacentral:tRNA from 1 species
GGGUGUGUAGAUCAGCUGGUUAGAUCGCAGCUCUGAUAAAGCUGAGGUCGGAGGUUCGAGUCCUCCCACACCCA